rnacentral:rRNA from 1 species
CAGUCGCCGCGGUAAUACGGAGGGGGCUAGCGUUGUUCGGAAUUACCGGGCGUAAAGCGCACGUAGGCGGCUUGGUAAGUUAGAGGUGAAAGCCUGGAGCUCAACUCCAGAAUUGCCUUUAAGACUGCCGAGCUAGCAGGUGAGAGAGGUAAGUGGAAUUCCGAGUGUAGAGGUGAAAUUCGUAGAUAUUCGGAAGAACACCAGUGGCGAAGGCGGCUUACUGGCUCAUACUGGACGCUGAGGUGCGAAAGCGUGGGGAGCAAACAGGAUUAGAUACCCCCGUAGUCCCUGUCUCUUAUAC